GAAGGGUGGCAAGCGUUGUUCGGAAUCACUGGGCUUAAAGCGCGCGUAGGCGGAAGUUCAAGUGUCCUGUGAAAUCCCCCGGCUCAACCGGGGAACUGCGGGGCAAACUGGAUUUCUUGAGGCAAGUAGGGGUACAUGGAACUCUUAGUGGAGCGGUGGAAUGCGUAGAUAUUAAGAGGAACGCCGAUGGUGAAGACAGUGUACUGGGCUUGUCCUGACGCUGAGGUGCGAAAGCGUGGGGAGCGAACGGGAUUAGAUACCCCGGUAGUCCACGCCGUAAACGAUGUCUACUAGGUUGUGGAGGUUCUGACACCCUCACAGUCGAAGCAAAAGUGUUAAGUAGACCGCCUGGGGAGUACGGUCGCAAGGCUA
rnacentral:rRNA from 1 species